UAUACUUUUUAUCAUUUUUUUUCCUUUUGGUGAUUUGACAAUGAAACACACUCGACAAUGCUUUAAAAGAUGAUUAAGCUUAACAAAUUUCAAAAAGAAAAAAAAAAGAAUUUUGAAGUCACUAACAAUUAGGUGCUUCACUCAUUAAUCCGACAAAGUGCAUCAAGUUGAUGAUAGUCGUGGUCUAGUCGUGGUCUAAUGACCAAUCUGCCCACCCGUAGCCCCUAGAGCCGGUGCCCGCUCUAAAUGGAAUGAAUCUCUUAGUUACGCUACACUCCAACCUGAGUCCCCAUAGCGUUUUUCUUGUAUUGGUUGCUCCAUAUAAACAGUCAGAGUCAAUAAACCAUUAAGAAAGGCAUUGUUAAUGUCAGACCAAUGAAUAUGCCAUUCAUAAGAUAAGGUAAUAAGGGAAAACACCAGUCUAACAGUUGUAGGAUGAACCAGUUGAUUGAAUGUCUCACCAUAGUCCACACCAUAAGAGUAUGUAUAACCUUGGCUACCAAACGAGCCUUACAUCGAUCAAGAGAGUCAUCAAUUUUCUACUUAACCUGACAACAGUGCUAUCAAAAGCGAAAAGCCCAAAAUAGCUCUAAGGUCCAUUGAAAUUUUAAGUACAAAGCGCAAAUAAAGCUCAAAUUUAUUUCAAAUGGUGCAUCUAGCAAGUCUUAUUAUUAAUGGAUCAGCUUUGUUCUCGUUCUUUUAGUUACUCCGACAGUUUUGCUUUUGCUGCUUUAUGUUUUAUGCUCUUAAAAAGGAGUCCUAAGUGAUUUAAGGGUCUCAACUGAAUACAAUCACAUGAAAACAGAUUGACUGCUGAGGCAACUGGAUAAUGUUCUGCAAGAGGUGUGAAGCAUGAAAAGAUAGAUAGGAAUAACAGAAACAGACCUCAGGCUUGUGAACCUUGAAAAACGGAUGGUGGUUAUCAGGUGCAACAUUCCUCUGUGAUAUUCAGCCAAUAGACAAAAAACCAUCUCUCAGUUAGGCCAUUCACGGAAUUACCUGACAGAAUGCUACAUGGAUCCUUGUGGUGGAUCUCUUCACUUUAGCAAUGAAAACACAUCAGCUCUCUCCUUUCUGGCUGCCAAGUAGUCAAAACAUAAUAGGAAAAUACCCAACUUCCAAACCCAGGAUAUAGCCAUUUGCCUCAUGUAUUGCCAACUUUAUCUCCUACAGACUGGUGAACCACAAGUGAUGCAGGAAUCAGGUUGCCUGAAUAGUACAAAAUGUUAUAGCAGAAACAGGUACUUGAUAAACCAAUGAACAGUUGAAAUAUGCAUUAAAAGGUUGGACUGUUGGUGUUGUAAAAUAUCAAGUGCAUUAUCUUGAUCAAAUAUUCUUUUCAAAAAUCAAAAUUCAGGGCAUAUUAUAC